rnacentral:rRNA from 1 species
GCCUAUUCAUCAUGGCUCAGGACGAACGCUGGCGGCGUGCCUAAUACAUGCAAGUCGAGCGGAUCUUCAUUAGCUUGCUUUUGAAGAUCAGCGGCGGACGGGUGAGUAACACGUGGGCAACCUGCCUGUAAGACUGGGAUAACUUCGGGAAACCGGAGCUAAUACCGGAUAAUCCUUUCCCUCACAUGAGGGAAAGCUGAAAGACGGUUUCGGCUGUCACUUACAGAUGGGCCCGCGGCGCAUUAGCUAGUUGGUGAGGUAACGGCUCACCAAGGCAACGAUGCGUAGCCGACCUGAGAGGGUGAUCGGCCACACUGGGACUGAGACACGGCCCAGACUCCUACGGGAGGCAGCAGUAGGGAAUCUUCCGCAAUGGACGAAAGUCUGACGGAGCAACGCCGCGUGAACGAUGAAGGCUUUCGGGUCGUAAAGUUCUGUUGUCAGGGAAGAACAAGUACCGGAGUAACUGCCGGUACCUUGACGGUACCUGACCAGAAAGCCACGGCUAACUACGUGCCAGCAGCCGCGGUAAUACGUAGGUGGCAAGCGUUGUCCGGAAUUAUUGGGCGUAAAGCGCGCGCAGGCGGUUCCUUAAGUCUGAUGUGAAAGCCCCCGGCUCAACCGGGGAGGGUCAUUGGAAACUGGGG